rnacentral:rRNA from 1 species
AGGGUUUGAUCAUGGCUCAGAUUGAACGCUGGCGGCAGGCUUAACACAUGCAAGUCGAGCGGGGAGAUGUAGCUUGCUACAUUUCCUAGCGGCGGACGGGUGAGUAAUGCUUAGGAAUCUGCCUAUUAGUGGGGGACAACAUUCCGAAAGGAAUGCUAAUACCGCAUACGCCCUACGGGGGAAAGCAGGGGAUCUUCGGACCUUGCGCUAAUAGAUGAGCCUAAGUCAGAUUAGCUAGUUGGUGGGGUAAAGGCCUACCAAGGCGACGAUCUGUAGCGGGUCUGAGAGGAUGAUCCGCCACACUGGGACUGAGACACGGCCCAGACUCCUACGGGAGGCAGCAGUGGGGAAUAUUGGACAAUGGGCGCAAGCCUGAUCCAGCCAUGCCGCGUGUGUGAAGAAGGCCUUUUGGUUGUAAAGCACUUUAAGCGAGGAGGAGGCUACUUGGAUUAAUACUCUAGGAUAGUGGACGUUACUCGCAGAAUAAGCACCGGCUAACUCUGUGCCAGCAGCCGCGGUAAUACAGAGGGUGCGAGCGUUAAUCGGAUUUACUGGGCGUAAAGCGUGCGUAGGCGGCUUUUUAAGUCGGAUGUGAAAUCCCUGAGCUUAACUUAGGAAUUGCAUUCGAUACUGGGAAGCUAGAGUAUGGGAGAGGAUGGUAGAAUUCCAGGUGUAGCGGUGAAAUGCGUAGAGAUCUGGAGGAAUACCGAUGGCGAAGGCAGCCAUCUGGCCUAAUACUGACGCUGAGGUACGAAAGCAUGGGGAGCAAACAGGAUUAGAUACCCUGGUAGUCCAUGCCGUAAACGAUGUCUACUAGCCGUUGGGGCCUUUGAGGCUUUAGUGGCGCAGCUAACGCGAUAAGUAGACCGCCUGGGGAGUACGGUCGCAAGACUAAAACUCAAAUGAAUUGACGGGGGCCCGCACAAGC